GAAUAUUGGACAAUGGGCGCAAGCCUGAUCCAGCCAUCCCGCGUGAAGGAUUAAGGCCCUCUGGGUUGUAAACUUCUUUUUUUUGGGAAUAAAAACCGGAAUUCAUUUCGGCUUGAAGGUACCAGAAGAAUAAGCACCGGCUAACUCCGUGCCCGCAGCCGCGGUAAUACGGAGGGUGCAAGCGUUAUCCGGAUUCACUGGGUUUAAAGGGUGCGUAGGUGGCUUUGUAAGUCAGUGGUGAAAUCUCGGAGCUUAACUCCGAAACUGCCAUUGAUACUGCUUAGCUUGAAUCAGGUAGAGGUGGAUGGAAUAUUACAUGUAGCGGUGAAAUGCUUAGAUAUGUAAUAGAACACCGAUUGCGAAGGCAGUUCACUAUGCCUGCAUUGACACUGAGGCACGAAAGCGUGGGGAUCAAACAGG
rnacentral:rRNA from 1 species